rnacentral:rRNA from 5 species
UAGUGGCGAACGGGUGAGUAACACGUGGGCAAUCUGCCCUUCACUCUGGGACAAGCCCUGGAAACGGGGUCUAAUACCGGAUAACACUCCUGUCCUCCUGGACGGGGGUUAAAAGCUCCGGCGGUGAAGGAUGAGCCCGCGGCCUAUCAGCUUGUUGGUGAGGUAAUGGCUCACCAAGGCGACGACGGGUAGCCGGCCUGAGAGGGCGACCGGCCACACUGGGACUGAGACACGGCCCAGACUCCUACGGGAGGCAGCAGUGGGGAAUAUUGCACAAUGGGCGAAAGCCUGAUGCAGCGACGCCGCGUGAGGGAUGACGGCCUUCGGGUUGUAAACCUCUUUCAGCAGGGAAGAAGCGAAAGUGACGGUACCUGCAGAAGAAGCGCCGGCUAACUACGUGCCAGCAGCCGCGGUAAUACGUAGGGCGCAAGCGUUGUCCGGAAUUAUUGGGCGUAAAGAGCUCGUAGGCGGCUUGUCACGUCGGGUGUGAAAGCCCGGGGCUUAACCCCGGGUCUGCAUUCGAUACGGGCUAGCUAGAGUGUGGUAGGGGAGAUCGGAAUUCCU